UGAAUUACAAAUUUUGUUAACUGUCUAC
rnacentral:sRNA from 1 species